rnacentral:rRNA from 1 species
GACGUAGGGCGCGAGCGUUGUCCGGAUUUAUUGGGCGUAAAGAGCUCGUAGGCGGCUUGUCGCAUCGUUCGUGAAAACCUGCAGCUCAACUGCAGGCUUGCGGUCGAUACGGGCAGGCUGGAGUUCGGUAGGGGAGACUGGAAUUCCUGGUGUAGCGGGUAAAAUGCGCAGAUAUCAGGAGGAACACCGGUCGGCGAAGGGCGG